UACGUAGGGUGCGAGCGUUGUCCGGAAUUAUUGGGCGUAAAGGGCUCGUAGGCGGUUUGUCGCGUCGGGAGUGAAAACACCGGGCUUAACUCGGUGCUUGCUUUCGAUACGGGCAGACUAGAGGCAUGCAGGGGAGAACGGAAUUCCUGGUGUAGCGGUGAAAUGCGCAGAUAUCAGGAGGAACACCGGUGGCGAAGGCGGGUCUCUGGGCCGAUACUGACGUGAGGAGCGAAAGCGUGGGGAGCGAACAGG
rnacentral:rRNA from 1 species